rnacentral:rRNA from 1 species
GACAGAGGGUGCAAACGUUGUUCGGAAUUACUGGGCGUAAAGCGCGUGUAGGCGGCUAAGUAAGUCGGGCGUGAAAAUCCCCACGGGCUCAACCGUGGAAGUGCACUCGAAACUGCAUAGCUAGAGUCCUGGAGAGGAAGGUGGAAUGCUUGGUGUAGAGGUGAAAUUUCGUAGAUAUCAAGCGGAACACCGGAUGGCGAAGGCG